GACGAACGCUGGCGGCGUGCUUAACACAUGCAAGUCGAACGGUAAGGCCCUUCGGGGUACACGAGUGGCGAACGGGUGAGUAACACGUGGGUGAUCCGCCCUGCACUUCGGGAUAAGCCUGGGAAACUGGGUCUAAUACCGGAUAGGACCACUGCCUGCAUGGGUGGUGGUGGAAAGCUUUUGCGGUGUGGGAUGGGCCCGCGGCCUAUCAGCUUGUUGGUGGGGUGAUGGCCUACCAAGGCGACGACGGGUAGCCGGCCUGAGAGGGUGACCGGCCACACUGGGACUGAGAUACGGCCCAGACUCCUACGGGAGGCAGCAGUGGGGAAAAUUGCACAAUGGGCGCAAGCCUGAUGCAGCGACGCCGCGUGAGGGAUGACGGCCUUCGGGUUGUAAACCUCUUUCAGCACCGACGAAGCGCAAGUGACGGUAGGUGCAGAAGAAGGACCGGCCAACUACGUGCCAGCCGCCGCGGUAA
rnacentral:rRNA from 1 species